UACGUAGGUGGCAAGCGUUGUCCGGAAUUAUUGGGCGUAAAGCGCGCGCAGGCGGCCUUUUAAGUCUGAUGUGAAAUCUUGCGGCUCAACCGCAAGCGGCCAUUGGAAACUGGGAGGCUUGAGUACAGAAGAGGAGGGUGGAAUUCCACGUGUAGCGGUGAAAUGCGUAGAUAUGUGGAGGAACACCAGUGGCGAAGGCGACUCUCUGGUCUGUAACUGACGCUGAGGCGCGAAAGCGUGGGGAGCAAACAGG
rnacentral:rRNA from 1 species